rnacentral:misc_RNA from 1 species
AAGUCGUAACAAGGUUUCCGUAGGUGAACCUGCGGAAGGAUCAUUCAAGGGUUCUUAGUGACAUCUCGAAAGAGAUUCCUCCCAAGUAUCCCACCCCGUGUCAUAUACUCUGUUGCUUUGGCGGGGCGUGGCCUCCACUGCGGGUCUGCUCGUACGUACCCGCCAGAGGACCAAAGCUCUGAAUGUUAGUGAUGUCUGAUACUAUAUAAUAGUUAAAAC